GACGAACGCUGGCGGCGCGCCUAACACAUGCAAGUCGAACGGGGAAAGAGCUUCGGUUCUUUUCUAGUGGCGGACGGGUGAGUAACACGUGAGCAACCUGCCUUUCAGUGGGGGAUAACACAUCGAAAGAUGUGCUAAUACCGCAUAACGCUUGGGGACGGCAUCGUCCCUUAGCCAAAGAUUUAUCGCUGAGAGAUGGGCUCGCGGCCGAUUAGGUAGUUGGUGAGGUAAUGGCCCACCAAGCCUGCGAUCGGUAGCCGGACUGAGAGGUUGAACGGCCACAUUGGAACUGAGACACGGUCCAGACUCCUACGGGAGGCAGCAGCUAAGAAUAUUCCGCAAUGGACGAAAGUCUGACGGAGCGACGCCGCGUGGAUGAAGAAGGCCGAAAGGUUG
rnacentral:rRNA from 1 species